rnacentral:lncRNA from 7 species
GAAGAGGGAAGAUGGCGGCGGCCGUGAACCAGCGUGGCCUUAACCAGCCAUAGUUAUGAUAUUAUAAGGCUCCUUUCCAUGUAGACCUGUGGGUGUCUGCCUGACCUGUAGUCUGAAGAUGCUCUUUCUGAAGUCUUAGGAGGGCCCCUCAGUGAGGAUGCCCGAAGCUGAAGGCUUUACUUCUGUUUCAAGGCAGUGAACAAGACGUGUGGUCUGAAGAUACACAACACCGAGACAGGACUGUGUGGUGCUCACAUGCCACGAGCAGAGUUCAAACAGCAUCCAAGCCCUAAAGACCAGAGCCAUGGACCAAUAUGGUGGAUGGCAUGUGUGCGCUUGUUCCAGAAGUGCUACUCAUCAUGGAGGCAAAUCCUGUGAGGACGUGGAAGACUUCACCUGGUUUCUCCGCUUUCCUCCCGGUGACACGGGGGAUACUUCGGGCAGAUACUGAACUGUCUGCUGCCAUUUACAGCCACAGUUACAUGGGAUUGUUUGUUCCUUCCCUGGGCUUCUACCUCUUCCUUGACUGGAACAGAAGCUAGGUGCUUAGAUAAACCUGGUCAAAUAUUUUAAAUCAGGAUUCUCUUUUUUUCUCAGCCUAAGAGCUUAAGUGGCUAUUUAUGUAGUUUUAUAAAUAAAAAAAAAAUUUUUUUAA